rnacentral:rRNA from 1 species
UUUAUGGAGAGUUUGAUCCUGGCUCAGGACGAACGCUGGCGGCGUGCUUAACACAUGCAAGUCGAACGGUGAUGUCAGAGCUUGCUCUGGCGGAUCAGUGGCGAACGGGUGAGUAACACGUGAGUAACCUGCCCCCGACUCUGGGAUAACUGCUAGAAAUGGUAGCUAAUACCGGAUAUGACGAUUGGCCGCAUGGUCUGGUCGUGGAAAGAAUUUCGGUUGGGGAUGGACUCGCGGCCUAUCAGGUUGUUGGUGAGGUAAUGGCUCACCAAGCCUACGACGGGUAGCCGGCCUGAGAGGGUGACCGGCCACACUGGGACUGAGACACGGCCCAGACUCCUACGGGAGGCAGCAGUGGGGAAUAUUGCACAAUGGGCGAAAGCCUGAUGCAGCAACGCCGCGUGAGGGAUGACGGCCUUCGGGUUGUAAACCUCUUUUAGUAGGGAAGAAGCGAAAGUGACGGUACCUGCAGAAAAAGCACCGGCUAACUACGUGCCAGCAGCCGCGGUAAUACGUAGGGUGCAAGCGUUGUCCGGAAUUAUUGGGCGUAAAGAGCUCGUAGGCGGUUUGUCGCGUCUGCUGUGAAAUCCCGAGGCUCAACCUCGGGUCUGCAGUGGGUACGGGCAGACUAGAGUGCGGUAGGGGAGAUUGGAAUUCCUGGUGUAGCGGUGGAAUGCGCAGAUAUCAGGAGGAACACCGAUGGCGAAGGCAGAUCUCUGGGCCGUAACUGACGCUGAGGAGCGAAAGCAUGGGGAGCGAACAGGAUUAGAUACCCUGGUAGUCCAUGCCGUAAACGUUGGGAACUAGAUGUGGGGACCAUUCCACGGUCUCCGUGUCGCAGCUAACGCAUUAAGUUCCCCGCCUGGGGAGUACGGCCGCAAGGCUAAAACUCAAAGGAAUUGACGGGGGCCCGCACAAGCGGCGGAGCAUGCGGAUUAAUUCGAUGCAACGCGAAGAACCUUACCAAGGCUUGACAUAUACCGGAAACGUGCAGAGAUGUGCGCCCCGCAAGGUCGGUAUACAGGUGGUGCAUGGUUGUCGUCAGCUCGUGUCGUGAGAUGUUGGGUUAAGUCCCGCAACGAGCGCAACCCUCGUUCUAUGUUGCCAGCACGUAAUGGUGGGAACUCAUAGGAGACUGCCGGGGCCAACUCGGAGGAAGGUGGGGAUGACGUCAAAUCAUCAUGCCCCUUAUGUCUUGGGCUUCACGCAUGCUACAAUGGCCGGUACAAAGGGCUGCGAUACCGUAAGGUGGAGCGAAUCCCAAAAAGCCGGUCUCAGUUCGGAUUGAGGUCUGCAACUCGACCUCAUGAAGUCGGAGUCGCUAGUAAUCGCAGAUCAGCAACGCUGCGGUGAAUACGUUCCCGGGCCUUGUACACACCGCCCGUCAAGUCAUGAAAGUCGGUAACACCCGAAGCCAGUGGCCUAACCGCAAGGGAGGAGCUGUCGAAGGUGGGAUCGGUGAUUAGGACUAAGUCGUAACAAGGUAGCCGUACCGGAAGGUGCGGCUGGAUCACCUCCUUUCUAAGGA